ACAUACUUCUUUAUGUACCCAUAUGAACAUAAAAUGCUAUGGAAUGUAAAGAAGUAUGUAU
rnacentral:pre_miRNA from 1 species